rnacentral:rRNA from 1 species
UCGAACGAUGAACCACUUCGGUGGGGAUUAGUGGCGAACGGGUGAGUAACACGUGGGCAAUCUGCCCUGCACUCUGGGACAAGCCCUGGAAACGGGGUCUAAUACCGGAUAACACUUCGGGCCUCAUGGUCUGUGGUUAAAAGCUCCGGCGGUGCAGGAUGAGCCCGCGGCCUAUCAGCUUGUUGGUGAGGUAAUGGCUCACCAAGGCGACGACGGGUAGCCGGCCUGAGAGGGCGACCGGCCACACUGGGACUGAGACACGGCCCAGACUCCUACGGGAGGCAGCAGUGGGGAAUAUUGCACAAUGGGCGAAAGCCUGAUGCAGCGACGCCGCGUGAGGGAUGACGGCCUUCGGGUUGUAAACCUCCUUUCAGCAGGGAAGAAGCGAAAGUGACGGUACCUGCAGAAGAAGCGCCGGCUAACUACGUGCCAGCAGCCGCGGUAAUACCGUA